AUCAUCAUUCCUCUUCAUCCCCUAUGGGACAUAAGGCUUCAAUGAGCUCUCUCCAUUGUAUUCGGUCCUUGGCAGCAUGUUGGGCCUCUCCCCAUGACAGGUUCAUCUUGUCCAGCUCCUGUGUCACAGUUCUGCGCCAGGUGGAUUUGGGCGUCCCGGGUUUUCUUUUGCCUGGUGGUGUCCAUCUUAAGGCGACUCUCGGGAUCCGGUCCUGCUCCAUUCUCAGCACAUGGUCUAGCCAUCUCAGACGUCUGUGUGUAAUUUCCUUGAUGAUGCUACGGCUACCGUUUUUUUUGUACAGUUGGUGGUUGGAGAUUUUGUUUGGCCAAAAGAUCUGGCAUAUUCUUUGGAGGCAUCCAUUGUGAAAAACUUCCACUCUCCUCAUAUCACUUUUGAUCACUCGCCAACUCUCUGAGCCAUGUAACGUGUGUUUACAUGUAUUAAUUCAGUGCAAUGAGACAACGAGAAGGAGCUCGUGGAAAAGCCGUGGAAAAUUAUUUAGGCCAUCGUGGACAUCAUGUGAAGUCUCCACUGACCCAGAGAGACCCGGGUCCUUUAAGAUGCCGUGCAUAAUGAGGGGUGGCCACUAGAAAUGGGCCAUGACGGAGCCAGACGAGGACCACAUCACAGAAAGGGUGUGGGCCACAUCUGGAUCCGAAAACAUGGAGGAGAAAACCUAAAAAUCCUGCGAGGGCUAUUACAUCAUAAAGAUACAUAUGGACUAACUUCCCACACACAUAGAGUAUAUAUACCAAUCUAGGGCUGCAACUAACGAUUGUUUUCAUUGUUGAUUAUUUUCUCGAUUAAUCGAUUAGUUGUUUGGUCUAUAAAAUGUCAGAAAAAUGACGAUCAGUGUUUCCC